AUUGAACGCUGGCGGCAGGCCUAACACAUGCAAGUCGAACGGUAGCACAGAGAGCUUGCUCUCGGGUGACGAGUGGCGGACGGGUGAGUAACGUCUGGGAAACUGCCCGAUGGAGGGGGAUAACUAAUGGAAACGGUAGCUAAUACCGCAUCACGUCGCAAGACCAAAGUGGGGGACCUUCCGGCCUCACACAAUCGCAUGUGCCCAGAUGGGAUUAGCUAGUAGGUGGGGUAAUGGCUCACCUAGGCGACGAUCACUAGCUGGUCUGAGAGGAUGACCAGCCACACUGGAACUGAGACACGGUCCAGACUCCUACGGGAGGCAGCAGUGGGGAAUAUUGCACAAUGGGCGCAAGCCUGAUGCAGCCAUGCCGCGUGUAUGAAGAAGGCCUUCGGGUUGUAAAGUACUUUCAGCGGGGAGGAAGGCGGUGAAGUUAAUAGCUUCACCGAUUGACGUUACCCGCAGAAGAAGCACCGGCUAACUCCGUGCCAGCCGCCGCAGUAA
rnacentral:rRNA from 1 species